UAAAACUUGCCGAGGAGUUCUUCCUUUCUACUGAGGGUACAGUUCUUGGCCUUGACCUCAGUGGAGACCCUACUAUUCCAAACCAAAAAAAAGAAACACAAAUACUCCUGGAUCUGCUUCCUGACAGAAUCGGGCAUGGAACAUUUCUCAACUCCGGUGAGGGAGGAUCCCUGGAUCUGGUGGACUUUGUGAGGCAACAUCGGAUACCACUGGAACUCUGUUUGACCUCAAACGUCAAAAGUCAGACAGUUCCAUCUUAUGACCAGCACCAUUUCGGAUUCUGGUACAGCAUUGCCCAUCCUUCUGUGAUCUGUGUAAGGUGUUCCGUGUGAAGUAUUUUGCUCCUUUUUGCUCCCUGAGUUGCAUUAAUUCAGAUGUUCACUAUCUAGCUGACUGCCUUGCAUGCCUGAGGAUAAUGCCCAAGUAGAGGAGUUAGAAGGGACCGGGGUGUGGCUGAGUAUGGUGGCGCACACCUGUAAUCCCAGCUACUCGGGAGACUAAGGCAGGAGAAUCACUUGAACCCAGGAGGAGGAGGUUGCAGUGAGCAGAGAUCAUGCCAUUGCACUCCAUCUUGGGCAACAAGAGUGAAACUCCAUCUCACAAAGCAAAAAAAAAAAGGGACUGGGACAUGAGAGGCUACAGAGGGCCAGGGUGACUCUGGUUUGGCUCUCUAGCAAAAGGUACUUGAGAGGACUUAAAAACAAACAAAAAAACUGAUGCUCUGCACCCAUCCCAUGAGAUUCUGUUUUAUUUGAUCUGGGGUGAGUCCUGGGCAGAGAUAGGCUUUAAAAGCUCCUUAGGUAAUUUUAAUAUCCAGCCAGAGUUGAAACACUGCUCUGGUAUCUUUUCUUAAGUAUAAAUAAAUCUGUUUAGUUACAGCUAUGCAUAGAUAAAUUUGUAGGCCCUUGUUUAGACUCUUGAAAGAAGCAUAGUAAAUAGGAAAAUAGACUCUAAACAAAAAGAUGGUUGUUUUUGAAAAAUCCUUCCUUUUUCAUUUUGAAACAUUCUUGUUUACGUUGGCAGACUGAUGAUAAGGGUGUUUUUGCAACACACCUUUCUCAAGAGUACCAGCUGGCAGCUGAAACAUUUAAUUUGACCCAGUCUCAGGUGUGGGAUCUGUCUUAUGAAUCCAUCAACUACAUCUUUGCUUCUGACAGCACCAGAUCUGAACUGAGGAAGAAAUGGAAUCACCUGAAGCCCAGAGUGUUACAUAUUUAAGCUAUAAUGAGGUGAACUACUUCUGAGUAUGUGUUUCAAUCAAGUUCCUGCCAUAUCCCACUUAGUAAAACAGUCCACCACUCCUUUGAAGCAUAGCAACCAAGUUCCUUGGGCUCUAUCACCAGCACCUUACACAUGGCAGGUACUCAGUAAAUACGUGUCUUCAACUGACUCACAAGCUCUCAGGUGCUUACUGGGUGGGACUUGACUGUUGUUGCUAAUUAAAUCCCCAUUCCACCAGUGAUUAUUGUGACUCAGCAGUCCUUCCCUAUUAGUGAUCAUAAAAUUUCAGGGAAAUCGAAGUUUCUCAUCAGGAAAUGUUUUGGAAUUACUAGUAUAAAGUUAGGAAAGUGGGGAAAUUAGGUUACUGCCGAGACCUUUAAGCCUUCUAAACAGCUUUAUAUUUUAUUGUGCAUACUUUAAUCAGACUCCCUUCACUCGCUUUAAGUUUUUAAAAGUAUUCCCCAGCCGGAUGUGAUGGCUCAUGCCUGUAAUCCCAGCACUUUGGGAAGCCAAAGUGGGCAGAUUGCUUGAUCCUAGGAGUUCAGUAGCAGCCUAGGCAACAUGGAGAAACCCUGUCUCUACAAAAACAAAAAAACAAAAAACCGGAAAUUAGUCAGGCACGGUGGUACACACCUGUAGUCCCAGCCACCAGGGAGGCUAAGGUGGGAGGAGACCUGAUCCCAGGGAUGUUUGAGGCUGCAGUGAGCUGUGAUGCUACAGCACUCCAGCCUGGGCAACAGAGUGAAACCCUGUUUCAAGAAAAAGAAAAGUAUUCUCCAAGAUCCCAAGACCAUUGACACCAGGCCACAUUGUAUACCAGGGAUUUAUGUGAAUGCCUAGGGAUGACCGUAGUGACAGAUAAAGCUAGGUGCUGAGAUCUGGUUUUGCCCUCUUUAUGAUUGUCCCAUCGGUACUAGAAAGUGAAGUCAUUGCUCCAAUUUUGGAAGAGGAGAGAAUAACUGGCUGAGGGGUGAGAAAGACAGAAAUAGCUGCAGCUCUCUUUUUUUUUUUUUUCAACAAAGGCUCUCACUCUGUUCCCCAGGCUGGAGUGCAGUGACAUGAUCACAGAUCACUGCAGCUUUCAGUUUUAAAACAGCUUUUAUUACAUUUUCUUUGUGGAAGCUGUAUUUCUACCUUAGUACUCACUUUCUGCUUGGUCUGAAAGAUACCUCUAGUAGUGGCAACAUUGUGUUAAGUAGAGUUCAUUGGGUCUCUUGUAACCCUACCCCUACAUAAUGGACCACUGGUGCAGGCUUACAUAAACACACAUACUGUGGCCACUUCAGCUGAAGACAAGGGACAAACUAAGAUAGUUCUGAAAGGUAAAAAAACAAACAAACAAACAAAAAACAAAAACAAAA
rnacentral:lncRNA from 10 species